GGGGACUUGUGGGUAAAGGCUGAGGUGGAGUUUGUCAUCAACAGCACGUUCCAGAUUCUGUUUGUCGCUGCUAUUCGAGACCAUGCUUACGGAGGGAUCGCUAUUGAUGACAUUGUGUUGUCCCCUGAGUGCCGUUUAUCCAAUGAAUCAAUGCCACCUCCUGCUCACCCUUGCACAGACGAUGAUUUGAAAAUCUGUGACUUUAAGGAGGACUGUCCUGCUGGAGAAGAUGAGCCUCAGUGUGGGGAUUUUUCAUAUGAGAAGGGAAGCUCUGGCUGGACAGAUACCAGUAUAGGGAGCCAUGCCUGGGAGUUAAAACUGGAGUAUAAUGACACCA